rnacentral:lncRNA from 1 species
CACACCAAAAUACAGUAAAUAAUGAAAUAAAAAGAGAGAUAAUAGAAUUGGACCUCGAUUUGUAUCUUUCAAACUCAAUGUUAUUCGAAUAAAGAGAAUCCGCGCUCGAAAACCUCAAACCGAACCUCAAACAAACUAACUCAUCCAACUUGGAAUUGAGAAUCACAAAAAAAAGAGACCUAGACCAGAUUCUCACAAACCCACACAACCUCAAACUAAAAAUCUUGAUAAAUAAGAGAAAUCUAGCCCGAUUCCAAUGGGUUUGGACGAAAUCAAAAGCAGAUCGAGGUUUGUUUGAUGAUUUUGUAUCGCUGUAACCCCGGUAAACUUCGGCUAUGACCAAAAUGGCAAAGAUAUAUCAAUUGAGACGUGUUAGAUGGGUUUUGAACGAAUUUAUGAUAGCUAGAUGCGAUUCCGGCAAGCCUGUCACUGGAACAAUAAUCAAACCACCAAACUCGUGUUCCUCAAGCUCUCACUCGCCAGAAACUGCUUCGCCAUUAUUCUCUUUCGAUUUCAAUCGCGAAUCUCUCCCUUUCUCGCAAAUCUCUAUCACUUUCUCGCAGAUAGCUCUCUUGCAUAUCUCUCUCACUCUCUUGCAGCUCUUUCUUUCUCACGUCGUCUCUUAUCUAUCUAUUUCUGUGUGUAUCCCAGUAGAAUUAAGAGUUGGUGUACGCCAUUGUGGGUAAGGAGGGAGUUAAACAUAUGGUUGUGCGCAAUAUACUAGAUAUGGAGGGGAAACAGGAUAUAAUGGAUUUUGGGAGUGAUUAUGGAGAGCUUGGAUAUGAACUUGGGCUUGAGACUGACGAAAACGACGACAUCGUCUUCUUGGAUGUGCCCGUUCUCCUACUACAAUAGCAGUGCUAUCUUUCUCAUUCUUCUUCCCUCCAGAUUCCCUUAAUUGUUUGCAAUAUUGUCCCAAAUGUUUCACGAAUUCCUCAUGCCCAUCUUACUCCUCAAAUUUUGACAUCUCAAAUAUUGGAGGAAGGUUAGCACUUGAAGGCAUGCCCCUUUGUAUGAAACAUCUUCUUUACCUGUAGGUCCUAGAGAAUUUUUCAUAGUAUUUUCUGCACUUUUCAUCUUUCCAAUCAUUUUCUCCGACUCUUCUGGCACACUGGACUUCUUGUUAAGAAAUUUUGGUGGUCUAGUUAACUCAAAAGCAGGCUCAGGAUUAUAACAAUGAUCACCAAGAGUAUUGAAUAUAGGUUCACUAGCUGCAUGAGGACGCCCAAUCGUUGGGCGAGCCAGUGUGGAAGUCCCAGUAGAGGAUUGAGCAAUAAGAUCACAGACGACAUAUGGUGUUGUGAAUGUACAAGGCUUAUGCCGAGGAACUAGAGGAAAAGUGGUGGAAGUAUUGAGAUGCUUUCGGCUUGGAAUGAAUUAUGAGUAAUGUUGCGGUGCAUCAACAAUAGUAGAAAAUUGACUUUGAGAUUUUGGUGGAAAACUUGAGGUAUUUGUAGGAUCAAUAAAGGGAAAUGGAAGAGGAGGCAACCCACUGGCCCAAGCUCGAUGUAUUUCUGUCAUUUGUUGUCUUAGCCACCUAAUCUCUUGCUUCAAACUCUCAUUUUCCUGAUUCUUUGUUUGAUCCAUGACACCACUCUCUAUAUCUUUGUUGGACACAACUAACCCUUUGGAUUUGGUGUGAGGUGAAGGAUUAGCCAGAAUGCCACAAACCAACCACCUUAAACUGACUCAACAAAAAAAAAAUGUGUUAGAGUUCAACACUUUUUCAAAACCUCUUUUCUCUUUUUUUUUUUUUUGAAAAGAUCACCGAACCCAAUAAAGGCGCCUACAUAUCUCACUCCCAAAAGAGGAAAAUCAGGUAUGCGUAGUUCGUGAAGUCUUGCCAAAAUGGCCAAUUAAACUCUUUUUUUUUCCAUUCUUUUUCUUGAAACUUCAAAGAGAAGAAAAUAACAAAUUGUCAAAAGAAUUGACAAAAAUCUUUUUGUAUUUUUCAAGUUUAAAUCUUUAUACAAAAUGAAAUCUAUAAUUACCAAAGAAAAUCUUUUUGGGUUUUUGAUUUUGAAUUUCCUAUGAAAAUGAAACUUGAACCUAUUAAAAAAAAUCUUUUUGUAGUUUUCUUUUAAAAAUGUAUACUUACUCUAAAUAAAGUGUGAGGAAAAUCUUUUGAAUUUUUUCAGAUUCCUGUACAAAAUGAAAUCUAUGAUUACCAAAGAAAAUAUUUUUGGAUUUUCGAUUUUGAAUUUCAUACGAAAAUGAAACUUGAACCUAUUAAAGAAAAAUAUUUUUUUGUUGUUGUUUUCUUUUAAAGAUGUAUAUGAAACACCUACUCUAAAUGAAAAGUGAAGAAUUUUUUAAAUUUUUUUUUGGAUUUUUGAAAUAUGAUCCCCGAACCCACAAUAGGGUGCCUACAUAUCUCACUCCCGAGAGAGGAGAAUCGGGGGUGCGUAGUUUGUCCAGAUUGGACAAUUAAUGAUUAAAUAACAGAUUGCACCCUGACUUGAGGCACGACCAAAGACACACGAUGAACAACAUAACAAAAUCUUUUUUUGAGUUUUCAAUUUGACACUUCACAUAAAAAAUGACAACAACUACUAUGAAAGAAAAUCUUUUUGGUAUUUCGUUUUAUGAAAUGUACAAAACUUCUACCAUAUUUUUUUAAUUUUAUAAAAAGCUCCUAUUAAAAGAAAUCUUUGUUUGAAAUUUUCAAAUUAUGAAAGAUUAUUAAUGAAACAAAGAAAAAUCUUUUUGAUAUUUUUGUCUUUGACAAAAUGAGUGCAAAAGGUAAAAAAAUCUUUUUGAAUUUUUGGAUUGUGAAAAACAAAAGCCAUAAAGAAUUCUAAAAACAACGAAACUCAUUUUUUACUUUUUGACUCACUUUUUUCUUCCUUUUUUUUCAAACGCACCUUACUUCUAACAUAUGUUUUCUCCGAAUCAGUCCAUCAAAUGAUCAAGUUACCCUCAAAGAUGCAACAUUUAGCACAUAGGGAUGCUUUAGUGGUGAGUCUCCUAUAAAGGGCCACGUGGGUCUCACUAGGUCUCAAUAUGAUGUAGAUAAGCAUGAUCUAAAGGCUGACCUAUGUUGGGAUUUAGUAACAAAGUUGUUCGGGGGAGAAUAUGGUCGAUAGAGGCUGCUUUGCUUUCCACUCACUCCAUACGUCCGAUGGCUUCCCCUGCUAAAAUAAGGGUGACUCAACUAGAGUUUGUGUGCACGACGUGCACUCCAAGACUUGUUGCAGAAUAAAUGACUCGGGUUAUGCACAUGAUGCCAGAUAUAAAGCAGUAACACACGAUAAAAACUGUAAACAAAAAGCACGUAGGCACUCAACAAUGAUAAACAAUAACACAAAACAACUCAAACAAAAUGUCUAUACAUCUAUAGUGUUAAACUAAGCCAAUACAACGAAUUCUGAAGAGUCCCCAGCAGAGUAGUCAGAGCUUUCACACCCGUUUUUUACAACUCCAAAAGAUUUGAUUUUAGUUCAAAAGUGUUUUUAUUAUUAAAGUGAUAAAAUUAAGAUUUAUUCCGAAAGAAAUUCUUAUAUUCAAAACUCAGAGUCACCACUUGGUAUAAAUCAGGUGUGCUAGGUCACCUUUGGAAAUCCCUUUCAAAAUAAUUUGACUCUUUAAACUGGUUUGCGAACAGAGAUUUCGACUAAGGAAUUCUGUUGACCGAGGGGAAGUUGUUAGGCACCCCUCGAUCCCGUGGUUUGACCACGGUCGCUUGGUAGAGCGUAUCGGCUAAUUUGACAUUAUAAAUGUAUAAACGACAAAAAGCAUGCAAAACAAUCAAUCAAGCAAACAAAAUGAAACAAUUCAAAAUUUAGUGUCCAGUCCAAUUAUACAGUCCAAAAUAGAAAAAUGCGUAAAAUAUAAAUCCUAUUUUAAGCUAAUCCUAAAAUUGUGUUCCAAUGCCAUAACCAAUGCCUCGGGCCUUGAUCACGAGCCUCCUCUGCGUACAUGAUACUUUGGGGCAUUCUCCAGAUAAAUCAGUACAAAUCUCUCGGGGCAUUCCCCGACCAAAUGAAUACAUUAGAAUCAAGUACGCCCACUCACAUUCAAACAUUCAACCAGAAACAUGUUCUAAAUUACCUACCGAAACCUACAUUUGCCUAUCUGUUUCAACAAAAUUCAUUCUUAUUAUAAAUUAAACUGCUAAUAAUGAAUUAAAACAAAUACGUAUUCACUUUUAUCAAUUUUAAUUCCGCCCCAAACAACCAAUUUUAAUUCUCAAAUGAGAUGCUAUUUUACCAUACAAAUCAUAAUCAAAGGAACCAACCGCGAAUCAAAACAAAUACGCGUUCAUCACCAACAAGGAUCAAACAAAACACACAAUAUUUAAUCCAACACACCAAAGUACAGUAAAUAAUGAAAUAAAAAGAGAGAUAAUAGAAUUGGACCACGAUUCGUAGCUUUCAAACUCUGUUAUUCGAAUAAAGAGAAUCCGCGCCCGAAAACUUCGAACCGAAACUCAAACAAAGGAACUCAUCCAUCUCGAAACUGAGAAUCAAAGAAACAAAGAGACCUGGACCAGAUUCUCACUAACCCACUCAACCUCGAACUAAAAAUCAUGAGAAAUAAGAGAAAUCCAGCCCGAUUCCAAUGGGUUUGGAUGGAAUCAAAAGCAGAUCGAGGUUUGCUUAAUGAUUUUGUGUCGCUGCAACCCCGGUAAACUUCGUCUAUGACCAAAACGACAAAGAGAUAUUAGUUGAGACGUAUUCGAUGGGUUUUGAAUGAAUUUAUGACAGCUAGACGCGAUUUCGGUGAGCCUGUCACCGGAACAGUAAUCAAACCACCAAACUCAUGUUCCUCAAGCUCUCAGUCGUCGGAAACUGCUUCGCCAUCAUUCUCUUUCGAUUUCAAUCGCGAAUCUCUCCCUCCGUUGCAAAUCUCUGUCACUCUCUCGCAGAUCUCUCUCACUCUCUCGCAGCUCUCUCUUUCUCACGUCAUCUCUUAUCUAUCCAUUUCUGCGUGUAUCCCGGUGGAAUUAAGAGUGUGUAGUGUAUAUGGGUGUGUGACGGUGAGGUCAGUGUACGGGUAUUGUUGUUACUCUCUGAUGAGGAGGGCCUGUGUGAAAUAUAUAUAAAGAACGGAGAGAAUAUUGUGUUCUCUGAGGGUCCCUCCCCCCAAAAAAUUAAAAUUAUGUGCAAUGGUGUAUAAAUAUUUUAUUCUUUGUGAUGAUGGCCCAAGCAAAAAAGGUCCCCCUUAUCCAUUUGGAAAGAACGACGAAAAAGGAAUAUCACGUGGGCCCCCCUCCCCCUUCUUUUCAAUUCUGUAGCCGUAUAGUAUUUCCGUUGGACAAAAACAUGGG